AGUUGGAGCUAAUAAAGGGACUCCGACUGAUUAACUGCGUGGCCUUUGUGCCACGCCCCGAAUCAUCACAGCUGCUUUUUUAUGUGUCACCCUGUGGCAAACCAUAGGGGUCAAAAGGCUUGCCACAGGAUGGCACGUCCCGUGGCUCUCUUCCUGUGUCAAAGACCAAUGCAUUGAGGAUCCAUCCUCUAUUCACACUCGAUCAAAUCAUAGAAGAACAGCUGCACAAUUAAGAUGAGCAUCGGCCCAAAAAACAAAACAAAAAUGUUCUCCAGUGAUCGUUGGGUAGAAAAUGUGACUUGUGCAGAAAAAAAAACCAAAAUAAAAAAAAAAAUCAGAAAUCGGCUCUUCAGCGUAGGUACAACUUAUCAGUAGUCAGAUCAGCUAGCAACACUCCGCACAUCACGCUAAGACUGAAAGAACAGCAGCUUCCUUUUGUGUAGUUUUGAGACUCUCUGGGUUUACGCGGUUUGGAUGCAUUCUGCAAAACCGAAAAUGAAUUUGUUCAGCAAUGGUGUUAAAAGAUGUGCAGAAGUGAUUUCAUGAUGGG